rnacentral:rRNA from 1 species
AUUGAACGCUGGCGGCAUGCCUUACACAUGCAAGUCGAACGGCAGCGCGGGAGCAAUCCUGGCGGCGAGUGGCGAACGGGUGAGUAACAUAUCGGAACGUGACUUGGAGUGGGGGAUAAAUAGUCGAAAGACCAGCUAAUACCGCAUACGACCUGAGGGGGACAGCGGGGGAUCGCAGGACCUCGCGCAAUUGGAGCGGCCGAUAUCGGAUUAGGUAGGUGGUGGGGUAAAGGCCUACCAAGCCGACGAUCUGUAGCUGGUCUGAGAGGACGACCAGCCACACUGGGACUGAGACACGGCCCAGACUCCUACGGGAGGCAGCAGUGGGGAAUUUUGGACAAUGGGGGCAACCCUGAUCCAGCCAUGCCGCGUGAGUGAAGAAGGCCUUCGGGUUGUAAAGCUCUUUCAGCCGGGAAGAAAUCGCAUAGGUUAAUACCCUGUGUGGAUGACGGUACCGGAAUAAGAAGCACCGGCUAACUACGUGCCAGCCGCCGCGGUAAGAC